AACGAACGCUGGCGGCAGGCUUAACACAUGCAAGUCGAACGCCCCGCAAGGGGAGUGGCAGACGGGUGAGUAACGCGUGGGAAUCUACCCAAUUCUUCGGAACAACUGAGGGAAACUUCAGCCAAUACCGAAUACGCCCUACGGGGGAAAGAUUUAUCGGAAUUGGAUGAGCCCGGGUUGGAUUAGCUAGUUGGUGGGGUAAUGGCCUACCAAGGCGACGAUCCAUAGCUGGUCUGAGAGGAUGAUCAGCCACACUGGGACUGAGACACGGCCCAGACUCCUACGGGAGGCAGCAGUGGGGAAUAUUGGACAAUGGGCGAAAGCCUGAUCCAGCCAUGCCGCGUGAGUGAUGAAGGCCUUAGGGUUGUAAAGCUCUUUUAGUGGGGAAGAUAAUGACGGUACCCACAGAAAAAGCCCCGGCUAACUUCGUGCCAGCAGCCGCCGUAACAC
rnacentral:rRNA from 1 species